GUCACCAAUCCUUUUAAUAGCGGUUACUUCCAAGGUCCGCCCACUGCUCCUCUGGAGGCCGUAUCCGCUUGCACUGGGAUAUUCGGAUCGGGUUCAUACCCGGGUUAUCCGGGUCGGGUGAUGGUGGAUAAGGCCACUGGGGCAAGCUAUAACGCCCACGGUUUCAAUGGCCGCAAGUACCUGUUCCCGGCCAUGUGGGAUCCGCAAACAAGCGCAUGCAAAACACUUGUGUGAUGAGGGCACGUGGCAUAUGAUCAACGUGGCGGCAAUCUGUGCAGUGUAAUGUAAAUACAGGGGAAGGUCUGACGGUGGGAGGUUGUGGCCGGACGGGAUAAAUGAUGAUGAUGACGACGACGACUAUUAUUAGAGUUUUUUUUAUGUCGUUUUGCGUGACGUGUAAAUUAAAUUUUGAAAAAAUGUGAAAAGUGAGUAAAAAAAAUUAAUAAAAAUAAUAAAAAUGAAAAUAGUGUUAAAAUGCUG
rnacentral:misc_RNA from 1 species